rnacentral:lncRNA from 1 species
CUCACACUCACUGUGUGGUUGAAGAUGCCCUUAGUUUGAUGCCCAGAAUCCACUUUAAAAGCCAAAGUAGACACGGGGAUGUACACUUUUAAUCCCAGCACUCAGGAGGCAGAAGCAGGCCUGGUUUUUAUAUAUGGCAUGGUCCAGAUGUAGAACUCUCAGCAACUUCUCCAGCACCAUGUCUGCCUGCAUGCCACCAAGCUUCCCAAUAUGAUGAUAAUGGACUGAACCUCUGAAACUACAAGGAUACACACUCUCAGCUUCUGCUCCAGUGCCAUGCCUGCCUGUCUGUUGUCAUGCUCCCUGCCAUGAUGGUCACAGACUCUAACCCUCUGGAACCGUGAGCCCCAAAUUAAAUGCUUUCUUUUAUAAAGUGUCUUGGUCAUAUUGUUUUGUCAUAGCAACAGAAAGGUAACUAAGACACAGCCAUAUCCAGAGUGUACAUACCUUAUGGAUGUACACUUAUGCUGUGUUUUUGAUUAUAUAAUAGAUAUGGAUACACAUAAUAGCAUUACCUAGAGUCAUAACUGAGAAGGCAAUGUUU